GGGGGUGCUCAUACCGGAGAGGCCACACCCGUUCCCAUUCCGAAUACGGUCGUUAAGCUCUCCAGGGCCCAUGGUACUGCAUUCGCGAGGAUGUGGGAGAGUAGGUCAGUGCCCCCU
rnacentral:rRNA from 1 species